rnacentral:rRNA from 1 species
AUUGAACGCUGGCGGCAUGCCUCACACAUGCAAGUCGAACGGUAACAGGUCUUCGGAUGCUGACGAGUGGCGAACGGGUGAGUAAUACAUCGGAACGUGCCUAGUAGUGGGGGAUAACUACUCGAAAGAGUGGCUAAUACCGCAUGAGAUCUACGGAUGAAAGCAGGGGAUCGCAAGACCUUGUGCUACUAGAGCGGCCGAUGGCAGAUUAGGUAGUUGGUGGGAUAAAAGCUUACCAAGCCGACGAUCUGUAGCUGGUCUGAGAGGACGAUCAGCCACACUGGGACUGAGACACGGCCCAGACUCCUACGGGAGGCAGCAGUGGGGAAUUUUGGACAAUGGGCGAAGGCCUGAUCCAGCAAUGCCGCGUGCAGGAUGAAGGCCUUCGGGUUGUAAACUGCUUUUGUACGGAACGAAAAGCCCUGGGUUAAUACCCUGGGGUCAUGACGGUACCGUAAGAAUAAGCACUGGCUAACUACGUGCCAGCCGCCGCCGUAA